AACGAACGCUGGCGGCAGGCUUAACACAUGCAAGUCGAACGGAAUAUAUUGUGCUUGCACGAUAUAUCAGUGGCGCACGGGUGAGUAACGCGUAGGAAUCUGUCUAUUGGACUGGGAUAGCCUCUGGAAACGGAGGGUAAAACUGGGUAAGCCCUGAGGGGGAGACGAGCGAUCGGCCGAUAGAGGAGCCUGCGUUAGAUUAGGCAGUUGGUGGGGUAACGGCCUACCAAACCGACGAUCUAUAGCUGGUCUGAGAGGAUGAUCAGCCACAUUGGGACUGAGACACGGCCCAAACUCCUACGGGAGGCAGCAGUGGGGAAUAUUGGACAAUGGGGGAGACCCUGAUCCAGCCAUGCCGCGUGAGUGAAGACGGCCUUCGGGUUGUAAAGCUCUUUUACAUGGGAAGAUGAUGACGGUACCAUGAGAAUAAGCACCGGCAAACUUCGUG
rnacentral:rRNA from 1 species